rnacentral:rRNA from 1 species
GAUGAACGCUAGCUACAGGCUUAACACAUGCAAGUCGAGGGGAAACGAUAUUGGAAGCUUGCUUCCGAUAGGCGUCGACCGGCGCACGGGUGAGUAACGCGUAUCCAACCUGCCCAUCACUUGGGGAUAACCUUGCGAAAGUAAGACUAAUACCCAAUGACGUCUCUAGAAGACAUCUGAAAGAGAUUAAAGAUUUAUCGGUGAUGGAUGGGGAUGCGUCUGAUUAGCUUGUUGGCGGGGUAACGGCCCACCAAGGCGACGAUCAGUAGGGGUUCUGAGAGGAAGGUCCCCCACAUUGGAACUGAGACACGGUCCAAACUCCUACGGGAGGCAGCAGUGAGGAAUAUUGGUCAAUGGACGAGAGUCUGAACCAGCCAAGUAGCGUGCAGGAAGACGGCCCUAUGGGUUGUAAACUGCUUUUAUAAGGGAAUAAAGUGAGUCUCGUGAGACUUUUUGCAUGUACCUUAUGAAUAAGGACCGGCUAAUUCCGUGCCAGCAG